AAUCAACUAAGAUUCAAGGCCAACAAAAGUUAACAAAGGUCAAAGAAGCAUAAAAUGCAAGAAAAUAAAAUAAAAUGCAUCAAAAAUAUUUUUAAAAUGAAUUUUAAAAGGGAAAUAAAAGAUAAAAUCCAUAAAGCACUUCAAAACAUUAAAUAAAUGACCAAGAAAAUUAUGGAAGGUUAGAGAUAAAAUAAGAAACAUAAAAUAAAUUUUCAGAAUUUUUAGAUGCAUAAAAGUAUUUUUAAAC
rnacentral:lncRNA from 1 species